rnacentral:rRNA from 1 species
AAAUUGAAGAGUUUGAUCAUGGCUCAGAUUGAACGCUGGCGGCAGGCCUAACACAUGCAAGUCGAACGGUAGCACAGAGAGCUUGCUCUCGGGUGACGAGUGGCGGACGGGUGAGUAAUGUCUGGGAAACUGCCUGAUGGAGGGGGAUAACUACUGGAAACGGUGGCUAAUACCGCAUAACGUCGAAAGACCAAAGAGGGGGACCUUCGGGCCUCUUGCCAUCAGAUGUGCCCAGAUGGGAUUAGCUUGUUGGUGAGGUAACGGCUCACCAAGGCGACGAUCCCUAGCUGGUCUGAGAGGAUGACCAGCCACACUGGAACUGAGACACGGUCCAGACUCCUACGGGAGGCAGCAGUGGGGAAUAUUGCACAAUGGGCGCAAGCCUGAUGCAGCCAUGCCGCGUGUAUGAAGAAGGCCUUCGGGUUGUAAAGUACU